GCUUGUCUCAAAGAUUAAGCCAUGCAUGUCUAAGUACAAGCCUCAGUAAGGUGAAACCGCGAAUGGCUCAUUAAAUCACACCUAAUCUACUGGAAAGUUACUAGUUACUUGGAUAACUGAGGUAAUUCUUGAGCUAAUACAUGCGAAAAAUCUCGACUCACGGAGAGAUGCUUUUAUUAGAUAAAAAACCAAUGCGGGUUCUGCCCGGUUUUGUGUUGAAUCAUAGUAACUUUUCGAAUCGCAUGGCUUCACGCCGGCGAUAGUUCAUUCAAAUUUCUGCCCUAUCAGCUUUCGACGGUAGUGUAGUGGACUACCGUGGCGUUAACGGGUAACGGAGAAUUAGGGUUCGAUUCCGGAGAGGGAGCCUGAGAAACGGCUACCACAUCUAAGGAAGGCAGCAGG
rnacentral:rRNA from 1 species